rnacentral:rRNA from 1 species
UCCUACGGGAGGCAGCAGUGGGGAAUAUUGCGCAAUGGGGGGAACCCUGACGCAGCCAUGCCGCGUGAAUGAAGAAGGCCUUCGGGUUGUAAAGUUCUUUCGGUAAUGAGGAAGGGAUGUUGUUAAAUAGAUAGCAUCAUUGACGUUAAUUACAGAAGAAGCACCGGCUAACUCCGUGCCAGCAGCCGCGGUAAUACGGAGGGUGCGAGCGUUAAUCGGAAUAACUGGGCGUAAAGGGCACGCAGGCGGACUUUUAAGUGAGAUGUGAAAUCCCCGAGCUUAACUUGGGAACUGCAUUUCAGACUGGGAGUCUAGAGUACUUUAGGGAGGGGUAGAAUUCCACGUGUAGCGGUGAAAUGCGUAGGGAUGUGGAGGAAUACCGAAGGCGAAGGCAGCCCCUUGGGAAUGUACUGACGCUCAUGUGCGAAAGCGUGGGGAGCAAACAGGAUUAGAUACCCUGGUAGUCC